rnacentral:lncRNA from 1 species
CAGUACAACUGAACAAAACAGAUGAAGCUUAUCUGCAUAAUAACGAAUUCAGCGUCGGUAUUGAUCAUGGGGGACAAGUGCAUAAUGAAGUCUUUCAGGUUAUAUACACUGACUACGAGCACUGCAUUCUCUUUUGGAGCUCAAUGUUGGGCUAUCAAGUUUGGGUGGACUCGAAAUACCUGAAGACAAACAGAAAGGCGCCUUCACUUUGCUCGUUCUUAUACGAGUUGUUAGCGCCAGGCAAUAGACACGUGGUGUACAUGUGGAAGAAGUGC